rnacentral:rRNA from 2 species
GCGAACUGGUGAGUAACACGUGGGAAACCUGCCCAGAAGCGGGGGAUAACACCUGGAAACAGAUGCUAAUACCGCAUAACAACUUGGACCGCAUGGUCCGAGCUUGAAAGAUGGCUUCGGCUAUCACUUUUGGAUGGUCCCGCGGCGUAUUAGCUAGAUGGUGGGGUAACGGCUCACCAUGGCAAUGAUACGUAGCCGACCUGAGAGGGUAAUCGGCCACAUUGGGACUGAGACACGGCCCAAACUCCUACGGGAGGCAGCAGUAGGGAAUCUUCCACAAUGGACGAAAGUCUGAUGGAGCAACGCCGCGUGAGUGAAGAAGGGUUUCGGCUCGUAAAACUCUGUUGUUAAAGAAGAACAUAUCUGAGAGUAACUGUUCAGGUAUUGACGGUAUUUAACCAGAAAGCCACGGCUAACUACGUGCCAGCAGCCGCGGUAAUACGUAGGUGGCAAGCGUUGUCCGGAUUUAUUGGGCGUAAAGCGAGCGCAGGCGGUUUUUUAAGUCUGAUGUGAAAGCCUUCGGCUCAACCGAAGAAGUGCAUCGGAAACUGGGAAACUUGAGUGCAGAAGAGGACAGUGGAACUCCAUGUGUAGCGGUGAAAUGCGUAGAUAUAUGGAAGAACACCAGUGGCGAAGGCGGCUGUCUGGUCUGUAACUGACGCUGAGGCUCGAAAGUAUGGGUAGCAAACAGGAUUAGAUACCCUGGUAGUCCAUACCGUAAACGAUGAAUGCUAAGUGUUGGAGGGUUUCCGCCCUUCAGUGCUGCAGCUAACGCAUUAAGCAUUCCGCCUGGGGAGUACGGCCGCAAGGCUGAAACUCAAAGGAAUUGACGGGGGCCCGCACAAGCGGUGGAGCAUGUGGUUUAAUUCGAAGCUACGCGAAGAACCUUACCAGGUCUUGACAUACUAUGCAAAUCUAAGAGAUUAGACGUUCCCUUCGGGGACAUGGAUACAGGUGGUGCAUGGUUGUCGUCAGCUCGUGUCGUGAGAUGUUGGGUUAAGUCCCGCAACGAGCGCAACCCUUAUUAUCAGUUGCCAGCAUUAAGUUGGGCACUCUGGUGAGACUGCCGGUGACAAACCGGAGGAAGGUGGGGAUGACGUCAAAUCAUCAUGCCCCUUAUGACCUGGGCUACACACGUGCUACAAUGGAUGGUACAACGAGUUGCGAACUCGCGAGAGUAAGCUAAUCUCUUAAAGCCAUUCUCAGUUCGGAUUGUAGGCUGCAACUCGCCUACAUGAAGUCGGAAUCGCUAGUAAUCGCGGAUCAGCAUGCCGCGGUGAAUACGUUCCCGGGCCUUGUACACACCGCCCGUCACACCAUGAGAGUUUGUAACACCCAAAGUCGGU